rnacentral:sRNA from 1 species
UCAUAAUCGGCGACACAGGUGUUGGUAAAUCAUGCUUAUUGCUACAGUUUACAGACAAGAGGUUUCAGCCAGUGCAUGACCUUACUAUUGGUGUAGAGUUCGGUGCUCGAAUGAUAACUAUUGAUGGGAAACAGAUAAAACUUCAGAUAUGGGAUACGGCAGGGCAAGAAUCCUUUCGUUCCAUCACAAGGUCGUAUUACAGAGGUGCAGCAGGAGCUUUACUAGUUUACGAUAUUACACGGAGAGAUACAUUCAACCACUUGACAACCUGGUUAGAAGAUGCCCGCCAGCAUUCCAAUUCCAACAUGGUCAUUAUGCUUAUUGGAAAUAAAAGUGAUUUAGAAUCUAGAAGAGAAGUAAAAAAAGAAGAAGGUGAAGCUUUUGCACGAGAACAUGGACUCAUCUUCAUGGAAACGUCUGCUAAGACUGCUUCCAAUGUAGAAGAGGUAAAUAAGAGGCCCUUUAAAAUGUUCGUCUUUAUACUUAAUAGAAAUGUUUUACAUAUCUUCAUUUUACUUAUCAUUUAAGUUUUUAGUCAGAUGGUCUUUGAACAUCAUAAAGUAGGAAAAUUUCUUCCCUUUGAAAUCCCUUGUA